rnacentral:rRNA from 1 species
UGGGGAAUUUUGGACAAUGGGGGCAACCCUGAUCCAGCAAUGCCGCGUGUGUGAAGAAGGCCUUCGGGUUGUAAAGCACUCUUGUCCGGAAAGAAAACUUCUGCCCUAAUACGGCGGGAGGAUGGCGGUGCCGGAAGAAUAAGCACCGGCUAACUACGUGCCAGCAGCCGCGGUAAUACGUAGGGUGCAAGCGUUAAUCGGAAUUACUGGGCGUAAAGCGUGCGCAGGCGGUUUGCUAAGACAGAUGUGAAAUCCCCGGGCUUAACCUGGGAACUGCAUUUGUGACUGGCAGGCUAGAGUAUGGCAGAGGGGGGUAGAAUUCCACGUGUAGCAGUGAAAUGCGUAGAGAUGUGGAGGAAUACCGAUGGCGAAGGCAGCCCCCUGGGCCAAUACUGACGCUCAUGCACGAAAGCGUGGGGAGCAAACAGGAUUAGAUACCCUGGUAGUCCACGCCCUAAACGAUGUCAACUAGUUGUCGGGUCUUCAUUGACUUGGUAACGAAGCUAACGCGUGAAGUUGACCGCCUGGGGAGUACGGUCGCAAGAUUA